GUCUUCCUUUCAACACACACAUACUAACAUUGGAAUGAUACAGUAGAGAGAUUAGCAUGGUCUCUGUGCAAGGAUGACAUGCAAAUCUGUGAAACAUUUCUUAUUUUU
ensembl:snRNA U6 U6 spliceosomal RNA